rnacentral:rRNA from 1 species
UACGAAGGGGGCUAGCGUUGUCGGAAUUACUGGGCGUAAAGCGCACGUAGGCGGACAUUUAAGUUGGAGGUGGAAAGCCUUGGGACUCAACCCAAGAAUUGCCUUUGAUACUGGAUGUCUCGAGACCGGGAGAGGUGAGUGGAAUUCCGAGUGUAGAGGUGAAAUUCGUAGAUAUUCGGAAGAACACCAGUGGCGAAGGCGGCUCACUGGCCCGGUUCUGACGCUGAGGUGCGAAAGCGUGGGGAGCAAACAGG